ACUCAAAGGAAUAGACGGGGGCCCGCACAAGCAGCGGAGCGUGUGGUUUAAUUCGAUGCAACGCGAAGAACCUUACCUGGGCUUGACAUAUCGGUGGUAGGGAACCGAAAGGGGACCGACCCGCAAGGGAGCCGAUACAGGUGCUGCAUGGCUGUCGUCAGCUCGUGCCGUGAGGUGUUGGGUUAAGUCCCGCAACGAGCGCAACCCUCGUCGCUAGUUACCAUGUCUAGCGAGACUGCCGGGUCUAACUCGGAGGAAGGCGGGGAUGACGUCAAGUCAGCAUGGCCCUUACGUCCAGGGCUACACACACGCUACAAUGGCCGGUACAAAGCGCCGCAAUGGGGUGACCCGGAGCAAAUCGCAUCAAAGCCGGUCUCAGUUGGGAUUGCAGGCUGCAACUCGCCUGCAUGAACGCGGAGUUGCUAGUAACCGCAGGUCAGCACACUGCGGUGAAUACGUUCCCGGGCCUUGCACACACCGCCCGU
rnacentral:rRNA from 1 species